rfam:Ictidomys tridecemlineatus contig046605, whole genome shotgun sequence.
GAGGAUAUAGCUCAUUUAGUAGAGUGCUUAACUCACAUUUAAGGCCCUGGGUUCAAUCCCCAGCACCAUCA